rnacentral:rRNA from 1 species
GAUAAACGCUGGCGGCGCACAUAAGACAUGCAAGUCGAACGGACUUAACUCAUUCUUUACGAUUGAGAGCGGUUAGUGGCGGACUGGUGAGUAACACGUAAGCAACCUGCCUAUCAGAGGGGAAUAACAGUGAGAAAUCAUUGCUAAUACCGCAUAUGCUCACAGUACCACAUGGUACAGUGAGGAAAGGAGUAAUCCGCUGAUAGAUGGGCUUGCGCCUGAUUAGCUAGUUGGUGGGGUAACGGCCUACCAAGGCGACGAUCAGUAGCCGGACUGAGAGGUUGAACGGCCACAUUGGGACUGAGAUACGGCCCAGACUCCUACGGGAGGCAGCAGUCGGGAAUAUUGCGCAAUGGAGGAAACUCUGACGCAGUGACGCCGCGUAUAGGAAGAAGGUUUUCGGAUUGUAAACUAUUGUCAUUAGGGAAGAUAAAAGACUGUACCUAAAGAGGAAGCACCGGCUAACUAUGUGCCAGCAGCCGACGG